rnacentral:rRNA from 1 species
UACGCAGGGUGCAAGCGUUGUCCGGAAUUAUUGGGCGUAAAGAGCUCGUAGGCGGUUUGUUGCGUCGGCUGUGAAAUGCCGGGGCUCAACCCCGGGACUGCGUCCGAUACUCUCGAGCUGGAGGCAGGUAGGGGAGAUCGGAAUUCCUGGUGUAGCGGUGAAAUGCGCAGAUAUCAGGAGGAACACCGGUGGCGAAGGCGGAUCUCUGGGCCUUGCCUGACGCUGAGGCGCGAAAGCUAGGGGAGCGAACAGG